rnacentral:pre_miRNA from 1 species
GAUAUCAACUGAAAAAGUCAUCAACAACAAAGUUAAAUAACUCGUCAAGAUCUAAAACUUUUAUUUUGAUCAUUUCUUCAUACGACAAAGUGAUAGUAACAUUGUUCACAAAAUUGACAUAUCUCUUAUCUGGUUUUAUAAACUAUAACACAUAUAUGUAAAUUUUGUGAAUAAUAUUACUAACAUUUCGUCGGAUGAAGAAAUAACAAAAUAAAAGUUUUAGAUCUUAAUGAGUUAUUCAACUUUGUUGUUGAUGACUUUUUCAAUUGAAAUC